rnacentral:misc_RNA from 1 species
AACAAGGCGUACCUGCGGACCUGCGGAAGGAUCAUUAUCGAAACAUACAAGUCCGAAGUGGGGGGAGAGGUAAAGGGGGGAGGACUGUCGCUGGCAUGUUGACAUGCAUGUGCACGUAGUACCCCUUUCCUUUCCUUUCGGCAAAACACCGUCACACCUGUGCACCUGUCGUAGGUCUUUCCUCCUACUAGGGGAAGGACCUAUGUCUCUCCAUCACACGCAUGUCUACAGAAUGUCUAG